rnacentral:rRNA from 1 species
GUUGCCUGUGAAACGAAUCUUAGUUCACUCUUAAUUCUUCUCCAAGGAAACUAACAGAACCCUAAUGAAGCGAAUUAAGGGCAAUUUAAAGGGGGUACAGCUCCUUUAAAAAAGAAUACAAUCUCUACGAGCGGAUAAAUAAUCUAUAGAAAGAUCUCCUGUGGGCCUUCAAGCAGCCAUCAACAAAGAGUGCGUUAAAGCUCUUCGACUAAAAAAUAUAAGAACUUCAUGACUCCCUCAUCAUUAACAGGCUAACCUAUAUGUAAAUAGGAGAAUUAAUGCUAGAAUGAGUAACCAGGGUCCUCCCUCUACGACGCAAGCUUACAUCUUUACAUUAUUAACAAAUCACCAAGAUACGACAAAUCAAACAAGCAGAGUAUCAGGUAAAUUGUUAACCCGACAGAGGAGCGUCCAUUAAGAAAGAUUAAAACCUGUAAAAGGAACUAGGCAAACACAUCAAGGCCCGACUGUUUACCAAAAACAUAGCCUUCAGCAAACAACAAACAAGUAUUGAAGGUGAUGCCUGCCCUGUGACUUAGUGUUUAACGGCCGCGGUAUCCUA